rnacentral:rRNA from 1 species
AUUGAACGCUGGCGGCAUGCCUUACACAUGCAAGUCGAACGGCAGCACGGGUGCUUGCACCUGGUGGCGAGUGGCGAACGGGUGAGUAAUACAUCGGAACAUGUCCUGUAGUGGGGGAUAGCCCGGCGAAAGCCGGAUUAAUACCGCAUACGAUCUACGGAUGAAAGCGGGGGACCUUCGGGCCUCGCGCUAUAGGGUUGGCCGAUGGCUGAUCAGCUAGUUGGUGGGGUAAAGGCCUACCAAGGCGACGAUCAGUAGCUGGUCUGAGAGGACGACCAGCCACACUGGGACUGAGACACGGCCCAGACUCCUACGGGAGGCAGCAGUGGGGAAUUUUGGACAAUGGGCGAAAGCCUGAUCCAGCAAUGCCGCGUGUGUGAAGAAGGCCUUCGGGUUGUAAAGCACUUUUGUCCGGAAAGAAAUCCUUGGCCCUAAUACGGUCGGGGGAUGACGUUACCGGAAGAAUAAGCACCGGCUAACUACGUG